GACGAACGCUGGCGGCGCGCUUAACACAUGCAAGUCGAGCGAGAACCAGGCCUUCGGGCCUGGGGAAAGCGGCGAACGGGUGAGUAACACGUGGGUAACCCACCCUUGGUACCGGGAUAGCCCGAGGAAACUCGGAUUAAUACCGGAUGGCCCAACAGCUUUUCGGAGCGGUUGGAAAAGGUAGCUUCGGCCUCCGACCAAGGACGGGCCCGCGGCGGAUUAGCUUGUUGGUGAGGUAACGGCCCACCAAGGCGACGAUCCGUAGCNGGUCUGAGAGGACGAUCAGCCACACUGGGACUGAGACACGGCCCAGACUCCUACGGGAGGCAGCAGUGGGGAAUCUUGCGCAAUGGGCGAAAGCCUGACGCAGCGACGCCGCGUGGGGGACGAAGCCCCUUCGGGGUGUAAACCACUGUCAGGGGACAGAAAGUUCUGAUCGUCCCC
rnacentral:rRNA from 1 species